rnacentral:rRNA from 1 species
CGUGUAGGCGGUUUGGCAAGUCGAGUGUGAAAUCCUACGGCUCAACCGUGGAACUGCGCUCGAAACUGCCUUACUUGAGUGCGGGAGAGGUGUGCGGAAUUCCUGGUGUAGCGGUGGAAUGCGUAGAUAUCAGGAAGAACACCGGUGGCGAAGGCGGCACACUGGCCCAGCACUGACGCUGAGGCGCGAAAGCGUGGGGAGCGAACG